GGAAGCGUGAAACCACGACAUUUUGUCCUGGGUUGAAGCCAUUAGAGGAUUGGAUUGAUAAAACAUCUUCAGCAAGUUCACCGCUGGUGGCGGUGUGGGUAAUGCUAUUGUCCGGGGUGACACCACAAGUGUUGUUGUUGCAGCCAGGUUUUGGUGAUGAGAAACAAUCACCACAGCCGUCGGAAUUUGCAAGGGAGCAUUGGGCUGAACGGCAGCGUGCAGGGCGGUAUGUGGAAGAAAUGUAUUUGUUUUCGCAGUCAACCCAAAGAAACUGGCCACCGAGAUCGACGAUGACGUUCAGUGGGACUAAUGGGGUUCUCUGGUUGAUUUGAGCUUUGUAUUGGUUUGUUGUGGCCCCAUCUUUUGUGAUUGGGAGAACAAGGGCUUUUGGCCUGAAAGAUUGUUGAGAGAAAGUGGGUGAAAUGAAGAAAAAUAGGAGAAGGAUUGUAAUGAAGUGUUGAAAAUUGGAAUUAGCCAUGGCUAGAGUGUAAAGAUGUAAAUGAUAUUGAGUUUGUGAAGAUGGUGUUGAGGCAGGUCUAUUUAUAUUAUAUUGAUCGAGUUGCCACAUUUGAUUUGGUUCAUAGUGUAUUAAAGAAGUUGGUGCUUUUAAGUCAAAAACAAUUUGAGAUGUUAACAAUGCCACGUUUCUUUGUAUCUAACACGACUACAUGAUGUUGCCUUGUUUAUAUUAUCUGGACACCACAUUGAUUUCUUUGGUCAAACAUGACAAUUUCAGUUUUCUAUAUUCUUCUUCCUUUAACGCGUUACUAAGUUUCAUCUUUUUAUUUUUUAUUGCAGUGUUUUAUCUCUCUCAAUUUCAAAAGACUGAAGAGGUACUUCUUUGUUGUUAUGCAGUGCAGGCAUGAGUUACUUAAUAUAUUAUUGGAAUUCUUGUACAGUGUGUAAAUAUACUUACGUAGAUUAUUAAAAAGUGAUAGCCCAAUUAUGGCAAAAUCUAACUAAAAUAGAGUUUCAAAUUUGUACACUAACAAGAUUUAUCUAGACGUAGAAAGAGUGUACGCGUAAUCCAAAAGUUCAAAUAUUUCUCCUGAUGAGAUAUAUCUUAUCUGUAACUUAUCCAAAAUGAAUACAUGUAAUCCAUUAAUUAAUUAGUAAGUCGAAUUACUUUAUAGGUCUAUCGUUUGUUGGAAAUUACACGGCUGCUUAAUAGAUUUUUUAAGUAAGUUUUAAAGGCUAUUUUAUGUCAACAAAUGUAGCUGGGAGAUUAGACUCCUAUAAAAGCGACAACUAAAAUUUGAAUUUAUGAGAAGUAUCAACAUUCAGUGUCUGAUAUAAUUCCUUUCGCACAUCAUGUGUAGGAUGUAACAUCGUUGGUUUCGCAAUAUAAUUUUAUUCUGAUUUGUUAAAAGAAAAGAAAAAAACAAAUAGUGUAUGAUAUGUGAAAAUUAGAAUUACAUUUACACAUGUCAUUCCUUAAUUUAGUUUAAUAAUGAUUUGAUUAUUUAUUGUUUUUUACGUCAUUUUGGCUCUUUUGAAUUGUUUGCACAUAUGAAUUCUCAAGUUUUAAAUCUAAAAACUGAGAACUCACAGGAAAAUAAAAUCAUAUAUUUAAAUCUUGAAAAUGUAUGUGUAAAGGGACCAAAAUAGGUAAAAUGACGUAAAAAAAAAUUAAAUGACGAAAUCGUUAUUUAAAACUAAGUUAAGAGAUCGUGUCCAAAAAAAAAACUAAGUUAAGAGACGAAUUCAAUUUUGUCAAUAACAUCUUACAAAAAAAGAAAGUUAUGGAAAAAAAUUGUGUCGUUUUCAAAGCAACUUAGAAUAUCAGGAGAUUUAGUAUGUGGGACUUUGGUUAACUCAAUUUAUAACUUCAACAAGGCUGAUACAUAUCGUGUUAAAACAUAUUUUGAGGCACCUUUUAGAUCAUCUUUUUUGUUAACAAUCAACUUAAAAAGGUUUUCACAGGGCCGACCCAAUGUACUUGUAGGCCUAAAGUGAAUUUUAAAUAAGGCAUUUUCAUAGGUUUCCUCAAUUGAAAGUAAUUAUAUUCGAUGUAUCUUAGACAAUAAUGUGAGUAUCUCUCCAGUUAAAAUUCGAACAUUGGUUUUCAAAAAACCUAGGGCCGGCCCUGGGCAUAGGCCAACGAUGGGAGAUGUAUACAGAAAUAUUAGGUUUAUAUGGGGUAUAUAUAGCAAAUUAGUUUAUGUAAGAUGUUUAGGCUAAAAUGUUAGUCAUACUACGCAAUUGAACAUGCAUAAAUACAAGAAGCAUCUGAGAUGAAAUACAAAUGCUAUGAUUUGUAGAUAGCUUAUUGAGCUAACAACAGAUAACUAACUAACUAUUUAUAGACAUGCAAAUUAGUCCUCCACCAUAUGCAAUUUUGGCAAGGCUAUACAAUCACCUGUUAAUCAAAAACCAUUUUUAUAAUAAAAACAUAAAAUAAAAACAAUAACAAUCAGUCCAUAGAAGAUCAUCAACUUAAUGUCCUGAAACAAAUUAUGAUCUCCAAUUGUUUCACUUUUUGUAGUUGCAUUGUCAAAAGAUUUGUUGGCAACAUUAACGGUGUUUGGUGCCACGUAGUUGUUGUUAGUAUGUGGAACAGGGUCAUUGUACAUACAAUUGUAAUCGUAACCAUGGUGAUAAGGAUAAGUAACACCAGAAUCAUCAGCACAAAUAUGAGUUGAACCAGAAUGAUUUCGGGUGGAGAAGUGGAGUGUCCGAGGUUCGAACCCUCUGCAUAUAAAAUGCGAUAUUCCUACCAAUUGAGCGAAACUCACGGGGAUAUGUGGUUUCUUUAUUAUGAUCACAAUCACACCACUUUGAGAACUUCUUGCAACUUUAUAAUGAUUAUCUUUAAUUUUUUUGGCUUUAUCCAAUAUUUGCUGAUCAGCUAGACUCUUUACGGUCAGUUUUCCCACAUCCCCUUCAAUCAGAUCAAAUGUGUAACCACCUGCAGAAUUGUGUACAAAUCAAUGUUUCAAAAAUUGAACCGAACAUCAUAUUAGUGACAUUUCUAAGUCGUAGUUUGACUAUUUGAAUUAGAAUAAAAUCGCAAUUAAACUGUUCGAUUCAAUUCAGUUUUUAAAACAUUCAUAUGAGCAAAUUUUUGUAUUGAAAUUAGCUUGCUCAUAUUAUAGUGAAGUCAAGAAGAAGGGGACAAAUAAGUGUGAUACGUACCAUUUAGUCUUGUUGAUAAUUUCCCUAACGAACUUUGACAUUUCUUGCAGUGUACUUUAAAGCGGUAUGUCUGCAAGUGAAUAAACAAAUCAUGUGAAAGAGAAAUGAAAACACGUAAAAUAGUUUUGAUAUAUGAAACAUAACCACCGACGCAGACACUGUUGAUGUCACAAAUAAAUUUACAAAUUGAAAUGGAGCUUCUAAAAAUAGGACAUCGAAAUUGGAGCUUUUACCGCUUAUUUACAAAUUGAAAAGUUUUGAUUGUUUCAUAAAUAAAUAAACUAACGAUUAUUUUUAUGAAUCAAAAAACUAUUUGUCGAUGUUGAAAAUUUUUCCAACACUCCAAUAAAUCACUUUAGAGUGUUGUUUGUGCUUCCUAAUAUUCAAUAUAUACUACUUAUAGGUUGAAUUUGUAUGUAUAAAUCUCAAAUUAGAAGAAUUUAAUAAGUGGUUAAUUAAAAAAUGUACCUUUCGGAGGAACGUCGAACGAAACCAUUUAAGUAUAUUCUAGGAGGCCGUUAAGGACAAGCAAGAGAAUGAUAUGCUACCUUAUGUAGGAGAUGAAUAACCUUCCUAUUUAUUUAUUUGAUUUCAUAAAAAAAAAAAAUCUUUUAGGAGUAUUUCAUAAAUUCUUGAUCUUAUGUCCUUAUGUCAUACAUACAUAUGAGCAUGCUCAAAUUUAAUGCGCAAUUGCAGUCGUGAGGAUGCUUCAUCAUUUAUAUAUAAAAACAAUAAAUUACAACUUUCAAAGGGGAAGUGAUUUGGCUCAACCUCACAAAGGAAAAAUUAAUUUGAUGACUUGGAAACUAAAGCAUGCAUAUUUAUAAUAAGGGUUUUUCUAUAAUAGAAUAAUAUACUUUUUUUUUUUUGCUUUCGCAUCGGUUUCCGACCCAUCAAAGGUGAGCGACUAAUUCGGCUCAUGCGUAAAGGCAUGCGCACUGGCCAAGUGUUGUUCCCCCUGAAAAUCGAACCCGGUAUUCCAGGGUACGUCCUUGGAAUGAGCUCUUUGCCACUGAAGUCCAAACAACUUUGUUAGAAUAAUAUAUUUUAGUUCACAUUUCACGUACUUAUUUUACUUUUUCCCUCAAUGAUCGAGAUUUAAAAAUAAAAUAAAAUUGUACUAUCGUAAUAAGAAAUAAAACCAAAAAACAUUGCUCAAAAAAAAAAAACCAAAAAACAUUAAUAUCAAAGUGGAGAAGGGUAAUGCUGUAAAUUCCACUUAAUAAUUAAAAGCAGAAACCUCUUUCACACCAAAACACACAUAUGUUUUGUCGCAGGUUACGAUUUUCAACAACCUCUUUCAACACAUAUGUUUCAUUGUGUAAAAAAAAAAAAACAACCUCUUUCAAAAGUCAGUGCAGUUUGCAAUAAUUAAAUCAUCUCAUCAACUUGCAAAAUAUAAUAAUAAUUUUUUUUGAACAGGAAAAUAUAAUAAUAAUAAUUAAUCAUCACAAUUAACAAGUUGUCAAUUAAAUCAUCACAAUUAAUAAAUUAUAUCAUUGCAAAUAACUCAUCUGAAAAUGUAGAUAAAAAACCAACGAAUUGGUUCAUCGUCAAUGGCUUUUUCCAUUAGAAAAAAAGUUAGUAGCUUUAAGCAUGUAUGCCAGGCUAGGCUGCACUUAUGGUGCAUAAAAUCUAGAAAUGGUUUUUGUGAGUUGUAUUUCAAAAUCAUUAGAUGUACUUAAUGGUUUCUAGCACUCUGCAUAUAUCAGAGUAUGUUUUGUAUAAAAUUAUGUCAAAACCAUUUUACUGUGGAAAUGAUUUCUGUGAAUUGUACUCCAAAAACCAUUUCUAGAUUUAUGCAGAGUGCAUAAGGAUUUCCUUAUGCACCAUAACCGCAUCCGUCAGACUAAUCGACACAUUGCAAGUGCAAAAAUAGGGAGCACCUAUAUAUGUUUUUAUUUAAUUUGAAAGAUAAAUUGUAAUUACCAAAAAUACACUUUAAGUUUAAGUGACAUACAAUAGUGGGAUUUGGGUUUUCAGUAAAAACAAAGUGGAUGUAGCUUGCUAACUUACACCUUAGUUAAAAGUGGGUGUAAGUUAGCAGCCCCAAUGUUGCUAAAACACAUAUUCUAGAAAAUAAGUGGGUGUAUGUUAGCAACUCUUAUAUGCAUUUGCUGGGAUACACCCACUUAUUUUUUAGAAGGUGUAAUUUAGCAACUCCUAUAGACAUUUGCUAGGAUACACCCACUUAUUUUUUAGUGUAUGUUAGCAACUCCUAUAUGCAUUUGCUAGGAUAUAUAUAUAUAUAUAUAUAUAUAUAUAUAUAUAUAUAUAUAUAUAUAUGGAGAUAGUACUCCCUUUGUCCUUAUAUCUAAGCACCUUUUGCAUUUUUUACAUUUCUUAAGAAAAGUUGUUGGUGCAUUUAAUGUGUCUAUUUUGUGCGUUAAUAUUACCAAAUUGUCAUUUGUUUGUAUGUGUAUAAAAUUUGACUUUUCAUAUUUUAAGACAAGUUAAUAAUAUUAAUUAGGGAUAUGUUUAGGAAAAAAAAUAAUAAAUGCAUAUAGUAAUUCAAAAGCGAUAUACAUCUAAGGACAAAAAUAAAGUUAAAUGUGUGCUUAGAUAUAAGGAGGGAUUAGAUAUUUUUAGAAUAAGAUUUUAAUUCCUUUUUCUAAGGGAAGGUGAAUGUAGGUUUUAAAUUUGUUUUUGACAUCUCAAAUCCAAAAAUAGAAUGUGGGAUAGUAUAAAUGGAUGGGAACUUCUAUGGUACACUCAUAAAUUAAGGUGUAUCGGUAUUCCUGCUUCCAAAAUUUAUAUAUUAACAAUCAACUUUAUGAAAUAAAUAGUUAUUUGUCGGCAUUUAUAUCUCAGAAAAUAUCAUUUCAUAAGAAAAACACAUCAUUCAUUGUUUAUAAGAAUCAAUAAUUUUUUUUACAUAUUUUCGUAUAAAAUAAUCAAAGUUCUCUAUUAUGAGCGAUAAAAAUUCAAAAAAAAUCAAUUUUAAUUCGUUGAUGCUUUUGGUGAAUAAGAUUUUAAUCAUUAUAAUUAUAAAUGAUAAAAAAAUAAUAUAUUUCUUCAAAAAAUAACUCAUUUAACUAUAAAUUUAAGGAUUUGAUGUACCGGUACACUCAAAAAUGUUGGGUGUACGGUAGAAUUUGCCUAAAUGGAUACGGAGAUGUUUCAACACAAACAAUUAUGAUAUCUUUGCUUUCUCAUUUGAAAUUUUGAAUAACAAAACCUCCCCCGACAACUUCCUCUCUCACCCUUUUCCAAUACCUUUCUUUAAUCCAUCCCCUAAUCCUCCACUUUCAUAUAAUCAAUUCAUUAUCUUUUUUAAAACAUUUUAUUAGUUAGUGAAGAGCAGGGGAAUGGAUCCUCUGCGGUGACUGCAGAGUCUUAAAUAUGAGCCUUUAAACACAAUUAAAUACUUAAAAAUAUACUCCCUCCGUCCCAAAUUGUAUGUCACUUUGGAAAAAAUAUUUGUCCCAAAUUGUAUGUCGCUUUACAAUACCAAUAAAAAAUUAAUAUUACUUUUCCUAUUAUAUCCUCAACUAUUUAUUACUUUCUCUUCUUUCAAUUCCUUCAUUUAUCUUUUCCAUAUCAUUUAUUGAGGACAAUUUUGUAAAACAACUCAUAAUAUCAUUUUCCCACACAAUAUUAAUUACAUUUCUUAAUAAGUGUGAAAUGUCCAAAACAUCAUACAAUUUGGAACGGAGGGAGUAUAUGUUAAAAACUUGAAAUUAGGAGAGAUAAUGAAUUUAAUGGUUUAGAUUCCCACAUUGAAAAACAAGAUAAAAAUACACUGGAGCAAAUCAUCUCCCACAGAGGGGGAAGUUGAGAGGAAAGUAUCAUAGCAUUGGAGAAUGUGAUUUUGUGAAGUAUAGUAACCUAACCUGUUCCGUAAUGACAUGAUAUGGUGGUGGGGGUGGCAGGUAUAGAAUAUGAUAUCUUUUCAAAUCUCAAAAAAUCUAAAAUCAAUUACUACACCAAAUCAUCUUUUUAUUUGGUCAUCGUAAAAAUCUCAAAAUCGAUGAUUCAUCAAAUCUUUUUUGGUUUGAUCAUAAAAAAAAUCUUAAAGAGAUCGAAAGCGACAAAAAUAUAAUUAAAUAUUGACGGAAGAGACUCAAUUGACUAACAUUAAGCAACCAAGAUAGAACAAAAACUAAUUAAGGGAUAUCAAAGUAAAAUCAAAUAAACAGUCAAAGGAGAAUAUAAAUUUAAGACAAAUUAAUCAAAUGAACAACUAACCCAUCACAAGCCAUAACCAUAUAACACAAUUCAAAUCAAUAACCGUUUGUUGUGCCUUCAAAAAAAAUUCGUUUUAAGAUUUCAGGUUCGAUAUUCUCUCCGAUGUCAAUUUUAAUGGACUAGUUUAACUUCAUAAAAAAAACGUUUGUUUAUAAUUAAAUGCAUUAUCAAAGAAUAUAAUAGUUGAUAUAAUACUUUAUUAUUUUAAUAUUUGAUCGAGGUUAAUCUAUAAAAUAAAAUCCAACUUACUAAUGUAAAAAAUAUAUGAUGCAUCAAAGUAGUCGAUAUGAACAGAUUAUUAAAAGAUUAACGCAUGAUUAUUACAAUGAAAAAGCAAAUACAAUAUUUACUUAGGUUUUUGUCUUUGUGGGCAUUUCUAUGGUGCAGUUAAGAAAUUGAUUUAUUUUUUUAAAAUUAUUUUGUUUAGGAAAUAAGAUAAAUGUUAUUUUAUGAAGCAAUCGCAAAGGAAAAGUUAUCAAAGGUGAUUUAUGACUACUAUGCAUCCGGGGUAGAGGACUAGUGGACUUUGAAAGAGAACCAACAUGCAUUCUCAAGGAUUCUAUAAUUUACAAACUACUUUUAGUUUAUAUUCAUCUUCCAUUUAAUUUAACCUUGUGUGCUCUAUUGAAUUAAGCACUCGUUUCACUAUCUAUAUUAAUCUGAGAAAUAGGUUCAGGCCACAGAUUCUUAUGGAUGUGAGCAAGAUAGAUUUGACAACAACUAUAUUAGGCUUAAAUAUUUCAAUGCCUAUCAUAAUUGCUCCUACAAUCUUGCAAAAGAUGGCUCACCCUGAAGGUACUCACUGUUCUGCGUUACAUUAAGAUAUUACUCUUGCAUUAUGUUUUUUUUGUUAUUGUCAUUAUGUACAUUUUUUUAUAAGAGUUCAUGUACAUUUUGUUAAUACAUAUGUGUCGGAUUCUUCAUGUGUUUGACAUUGAAGUUUAUUUUUUACUAAUAUAGAAAAGUUGGUUUUUUGGAAAAGUUAUUUAUUUAGCCAAAAGUUAUGUCUAUAAUAUAAUAAUAAAAAUGUUUAAUUUUGAUUUAAUCAGAGACUCAGUAUGACUGCACCAUAAAAGGGGGAAAAUACAUUCUUUGGUUCAUAUAACUACAAUCCUUGUCAAACCAUACAUGAAUUUCAAUGCAAUUUAUUAUGAACAAAGGAAACACUAAUUAUUCAAACUUGAAAUAUGAUUCAAACUUGAUAGAGUAUAAAAAAAAUGUUGAUUUGGGAAAACGGCAUCUAGGCAGUGGAGGUAAAGUUGAAGUUAGAACAAGUAGUUUGUCGUCCAAAGAGCAAGGAGCUAAAUCCCAAUUUAGAAGCAGCCAAAUCAAAUUGCAAAAGAUUAUUCUCCAACUGAUACCCUCCAAUCACAAUUGAAGCCCAUGUAUUCUCACCACCAAUCACAAAACCAAGACACAAAACCUCAUCAUUUAUAUUCACCAUUGAAUUUGCACCAAAUAUCCUCCAAAUCACAUUGUUCUGCAAAUAAAGCUCAAUAGUAGGUACAUCCGCACCCAAUCGUGUCCCAGUCACAUUAGUGUAACAAAACUCAAAAGGUGCAACCGAAUCCACCCUUUUUAUGUUUCUUGCAGCAGACGCUUUCACGAAAGCGUCUGUAACUGCUUUGUAAAUAGAAGCUUCCAAAACUGUGUAAGGAUCAACGGUACUUAUCUUUGUUCCACCAGCACCGUUGCUACUGUCUAUAGAUAACAAACUAGUGUCAAGCGAAACAACUUUUCCAUCUAUUUUAAUAGUUUUCACGCCGAUGAAAUACUCGGCUGAAGGCUCACUCUUUGCGAAAGCAGCUGUGCUAAAGGGAUUGAUCAAAAGCGGUGUGUAUGUGAGUGACUUAGAAUCAAAAACGACGUUGGGGAGAAAACCGUAAGGUCCAUCCCCGAAUAAAACAACUCCCUUUGAAGAGGAAAGACAAAUAGCGAAUUUUUUAGCGAAGCUAAAAGCCGAAGCUAAUUGAGAUGGAAGAGCUAAUUUGUUUCUUCCAAGACCAGCCAUACCAGAAGCACCACUUGCAAGUCCUUCUAGUAAGAAAGUUCGUGCACAUGAGAAUAGGAAGCGUGAAACCAUGACAUUUUGUCCUGGGUUGAAGCCAUUAGAGGAUUGGAUUGAUAAAAUAUCUUCAGCCAGUUCACCGCUCAUGGCGCUCUGGGUAACGCUAUUCCCUGGGGCAACACUGCAGGUGUUGUUGUUGCAGCCAGGUUUUGGUGAUGAGAAACAAACACCACAGUCGUCGAAUUUGGCAAGGGAGCAUUGGGCAGAGCGACACCGUGCAGGACGGUAUGUGGAGGAAAUGUACUGGUUUUCGCAAUCAACCCAGAGAAACAGGCCACCGAGAUCGACGAUGAUGUUCAGUGGGACUAGUGGUGUUCUUUGGUUGAUUUGAGCUUUGUAUUGGUUUGUGGUAGCGACAUCUUUUGUGACUGGGAGAACUAGGGCUUUUGGCCUGAAAGAUUGUUUAGAGAAAGUGGGUGAAAUGAAGAAAAAUAGGAGGAGGGUUGUAAUGAAGUGUUGGAAAUUGUAUUUAGCCAUGGCUUGAGAGUAAAAAUAGUGUAUUAGUGUAUGGUAUUGAGUUUGAGAAGAUGGUGUUGAGGCAUCUCUAUUUAUAUUGCAUGGGAUAUUGAUAGAGUUGCCAUUUGAGAUGUUAAAUAAAAAACGUCAAAUAUGAUUGUCACGUUUCUUUGUAUUUAACACGAUGUUGCCAUUAUUAAUUAUUAUCUGCACACAAUAUUAAAUUCUUGGUCAAACUUGAUGUACUACAAUUUUUUAUAGGCAAGUAAUUCAUGGAUUAGUGACUAAGACACCCUUUUUUAUAUUCUUCGUUGCUAUGCUAUGUAGGCAUGGGUUACUUUAUAUUUUUGAGGAAAAAUAAAUACCACUUCCGUCUCUAUAUACAAGACCUUUUUGUCAAAAUUACAGGAAUUAAGAAAGUAGAUAUUUUCAUUAAAGUUGUUUGUAAUUACUAUUGUUUUUACAAUUUUAUCUUUUAAAAUAGAGAGUUAGUUUAUGUUUUGAACAUGUUAUUUAUUGCUGAUUGAAGAAAAAGAUGUGAAAUAAAUAGAGGCAUGUAUGUAAAUAAAUAAUAAAUGUGCUUAGAAAUAACAAAAGGGUCUUAUAAAAAGUGACAUUUUAUUUUUAAAAGGAUCUUAUAAUUAUAGAUGGAGGUAGUAUUAUUUAAUGAAGUUUCCGAUUCGCUGCAGUUUGUUUACAUACAUAAUUUAUUAAGUAGAUAAUUUUAUUUUUUCAAUUUCAUUUAGAUCGAAACCACGUGAUCUUUAUUUUUCUUUUUUUUUUUAAGGAAAGACCACAUGAUCUUGGUGAUUGUGGUUGUCUAACCAUUAUUUUUGGUAUAGUAAAGGGUUGAUAUUUAAUUGAGAUUAAUUAAAGGGUUGAUAUCUUUUAAGAAAUGAUUUUUAAUAUUACGGAUCAGAAAUAAAAUCUUAAACUAAAUUGUUGUUGGUGUUAACUCUAAUUCUUUCAAUAUUCCACCAAAAUUCAUGUUUACCCUAAUAUAUUUCCCUCCUAAAUAGUACAUGCCAAUUUGAAUUUCGAAUUUUUUUUAUUGGAAUUGCAAGUCAUUGAUUCAGUUGCAGUAACAAACUUCGUGGUAAAACGUGAUACAUUUGACCUUCCACCAUUAAUUUGAACAAUUUAUUUUUGAAAAAGGUGAUGGAAGUUUUAUUGAAAUUAAGAGUAAAAUGGAUGCAAAGUGUGCUACACAUGUGUAGCCAAAUAAUAUAAUUCACUCUAAACUCAUCCUCUAUAUUGAGCUUUCUACAGGAGUUUCCACUUUUACUGAAUCUGAUGUUUUUCUUUGUUUUUCUUUUGCAUAAUUUGGAGCUGGUUCAAUGUAAUGUUCUGCAUAAUUUGGAGGGAGCUUGAGGGAUUUUUUCAUAGUUUGGAGUGAUAGAGAAAGCUUGAUGCAUAAUGAAAGACACAUGUUUUGUUAUUUGACUUCGCAGAUUAUAUGUUUUCAAAGCGACAUAUGUCUCGACUCUACAUUUUCAUAGUUCAAAAUUGGAUUUUAGCAAUUUGAAGAUCUAUUGAUGUGAUUACAAGUUGUGUUAUAAAAUUUAAUAGAUGUUUGCUUGCUUAUAAGGUUGUACAAUUCUUUCAAAAAAAAAAAAAAAAGGUUGGACAAUUGGUAGUACAUUUCAAAAUUCAAAGAAGUAAACUUCCAUGAGUAGUCUAGGUUUGAAUGUGUGUUGCAGAUUUUUCUUUAAUUGUUUUAUCUUAAUGUCAUAUGUCCUUCAAUAUAUAUUAGCAAACUAAAAGAAGAAUGUAUUACAACACCAUAUGCUUUUGAAAGAAGCAUUUUGGUAGUUUAUCAAAAUGGCAUUGUUUUCACUUAUUAUAAAUGUUUUUGGAUUAAUAUAUAGAUUUAAUAAAAGAUAUGAAUAGUUGAUGUCAAUUUACUAAUCAUUUCAGUAAAUUAAUAUUUAUUUGUGUAAAAUAUGAUAAUAUUAUUCUCUAUAUUAGUAUAUUCAUACUCCACUUGAGUGUUCCCGCUCUUUUUUAAAUUCCAUUUAUUUUAUUUUGUAUCAAAUUCCGACUCAUAAGACCCGUGCGACGUAUGGGUUGGCGUUCUAGUUUAUAUAUAAAAACAAUAAAAUACAACUUUCGAAGGGGAAGCGAUUUGGCUCAACCUCACAAAGGAAAAAUUAAUUUGAUGACUUGGAAACUAAAGCAUGCAUAUUUAUUAUAAGGGGUUUUUCUAUAAUAGAAUAAUAUACUUUUUUUUUUUGCUUUCGCAUCGGUUUUCGACCCAUCAAAGGUGAGCGACUAAUUCGGCUCAUGCGUAAAGGCAUGCGCACUGACCAAAUGUUGUUCCCCCUGGAAAUCGAACCUGAUAUUCCUCGAAAACGUCCUUGGAAGGAGCUCCUUGCCACUGGAGCCCAAACAACUUUGUUAGAAUAAUAUACUUUAGUUAAUACUUCACGUACUUAUUUUACUUUUUCCCUCAAUAAUCGAGAUUUAAAAAUAAAAUAAAAUUGUACUAUAGUUCUUAUUAUAAGAAACAAAACCAAAAAACAUUAAUAUCAAAGUGGAGAAGGGUAAUGCUGUAAAUUCCACUUAAUUAAUUAAAAGCAGAAACCUCUUUCACACCAAAAGACACAUAUGUUUUGUCGCAGGCUACGAUUUUCAACAACCUCUUUCAAAAGUCAGUGCAGUUUGCAACAAUUAAAUCAUCUCAUCAACUUGCAAAAUAUAAUAAUAAUUUUUUUUUAACAGGAAAAUAUAAUAAUAAUAAUUAAUCAUCACAAUUAACAAGUUGUCAAUAAAUCAUCACAAUUAAUAAAUUAUAUCAUUGCAAAUAACUCAUCUGAAAAUGUAGAUAAAAAACCAACGAAUUGGUUCAUCGUCAAUGGCUUUUUCCAUUAAAAAAAAAGUUAGUAGCUUUAAGCAUUUUUUUUUUUUUGAAGGAAUAGUAGCUUUAAGCAUGUAUGCCAGGCUAAUCGACACAUUGCAAGUGCAAAAAUAGGGAGCAGUUAUAUAUGUUUUUAUUUAAUUUGAAAGAUAAAUUGUAAUUACCAAAAAUACCCUUUAAGUUUAAGUGACAUACAAUAGUGGGAUUUGGGUUUUUAGUUAAAACAAUGUGGGUGUAGCUUGCUAACUUGCACCUUAGUGUUUUUAGGUGGGUGUAAGUUAGCAGCCCCAAUGUUCUUAAAACACAUAUUCUAUAAAAUAAGUGGGUGUAUGUUAGCAACUCCUAUAUGCAUUUGCUAAGAUACACCCACUUAUCUUCUAUAAAAUAAGUGGGUGUAUGUUAGCAACUCCUAUAUGCAUUUGCUAGGAUACACCCACUUAUUUUUUAGAAGGUGUGUUUUAGCAACUCCUAUAGACAUUUGCUAGGAUACACCCACUUAUUUUUUUAGAAAGUGUAUGUUAGCAACUCCUAUAUGCAUUUUCUAGGAUAUAUAUAUAUAUAUAUUGUUAUAGUACUCCCUCCGUCCUUAUAUCUAAGCACCUUUUACAUUUUUCACAUUUCUUAAGAAAAGUUGUUGGUGCAAUUAAUGUGUCUAUUUUGUGUGUUAAUAUUACCAAAUUGUUAUUUGUUUGUAUGUGUAUUAAAUUUGACUUUUCAUAUUUUAAGAUAAGUUAGUAGUAUUAAUUAGGGGUAUGUUUAGGAAAAAAUAAUAAAUGCAUAUAGUAAUUCAAAAGGGAUUUACAUCUAAGGACAAAAAUAAAGUUAAAUGUGUGCUUAGAUAUAAACUCUAAACGUUUUGGUGGUUGAAAGCGAAUUACAUCAUGUUCGAUUUUGACUAUCCUUAUUGGAGGAAAAAUCCUUUACUUUGUUUACAGACUGCUUUGUAAUGUCUGUUUCUGUUUUCUUGGAUUAUUGUUGUGUAACUAAUAUUGUUUAGUCCUCUUAAGCACACCUUGUGCUUGAGGGAUUGGUUAUUUCUUUAAUAUAUUUUGCUUAGUUUCUUAAAAAAAAAAAAAAAAAAGGAGCGAUCAGAUAUUUUUAGAAUAAGAUUUUAAUUCCUUUUUCUAAGGGAAGGUGAAUGUAGGUUUUAAAUUUGUUUUUGACAUCUCAAAUCCAAAAAAAAAAAAAAAAAAAAAAGUUAGAAUUUGCCUAAAUGGAUACGGAGAUGUUUCAACACAAACAAUUAUGAUAUAUUUGCUUUCUCAUUUUAAAUUUUGAAUAACAUAACCUCCCCCAACAACUUCCUCUCUCGCCCUUUUCCAAUAUCUUUCUUUAAUCUAUCCCCUAAUCCUCCACUUUCAUAUUAUCAAUUCAUUAUCUUUUUUAAAACAUUUUAUUAGUUCAAGAGCAGAAGGGGGAAUGAAUCCUCUGCAGUGACUGCAGAGUCCAGUUAAAUCUAAGCCUUUGAACACAAUUAAAUACUUAAAAAUAUAUAUGUUAAAAACUUGAAAUUAGGAGAGAUAAUGAAUUUAAUGGUUUAGAUUCCCACAUUGCGGAAAAUAGGAGAAAAACACACUGGAGCAAAUCCUCUCCCACAUAGGGGAAGUUGAGAGGAAAGUGUCAUAGCAUUGGAGAAUGUGAUUGUGUGAAGUGGUUCCGUAAUGAUAUGAUAUGGUGGUGGGGUGACAGGUAUAGAAUAUGAUAUCUUUUCAAAUCUCAAAAACCUAAAUUCAAUUACUACACCAAAUCAUCUUUUUAUUUGGUCAUCGUAAAAAUCUCAAAAUUGAUGAUUCGUCAAAUCUUUUUUGGUUUGAUCAUAAAAAAAAUCUUAAAGAGAUCGAAAGUGACAAAGAUAUAAUUAAAUAUUGAUGGAAGAGACUCAAUUGAGUAAUAUUAAGCAACCAAGAUAGAACAAAAAUUAAUCAAGGGAUAUUCUUCGUUGCUAAUGCUAAGGCAUGGGUUACUUUAUAUUUUUGAGGAAAAAUAAAUAUUACCUCGGUUCCUAUAUAUAAGACAUUUUUGUCAAAAUCACGGAAAUUAAGAAAGUAGGUAUUUAUAUUAAAGUUGUUUGUAAUCACUAUUGUUUUUAUAAUUUUAUCCUUUAAGAUGGAGAGUUAGUUUAUGUUUUGAACAUGUUAUUUAUUGUUGAUUGAAGAAAAUAAUGUGAAAUAAAUAAGGGUAUGUAUGUAAAUAAAUAAUAAAUCUAUUUAGAAAUAACAAAAGGGUCUUAUAAAAAGGGACAACAUAUUUUUUUAAAAAGGUCUUAUAAUUAAGGACGGAGGUAGUAUUAUUUGAUGAAAUUUUCUAUUCGUGCAAUCUGUUUACAUACAUAAUUUAUUAGACUUGAAAAACAUGGGGUGUUUGGAUUAAAUUAGGGUGCAAGUAGAAAAACUCUAAACUAGAAUGCACGAGCAUCAAAAUCAACUCGUUAGUUGAAUCAAUGAAAACUCAAUAGACUUGAUAAUUGAGCAUUUUACUUGUGCUCCAUGUUUAUAUCACCACCAACUAAAGAAAACUAGAAGCACGAAACCACAUUUAGGGUGUGUUUGGAUUGUAAGAGAAAUUGUGAAGAGAGAAAUAGGUGAGAGAGAGUAUGAGAAGAGAGAAGUAUGUGAGAAAUAGAGUAGAUUUGAGGGGUUGUUUGGUACAAGAGAUAUAUGAGAGAAAUAGAAGAGAGAGAAUGUCAUUAUUUUUGAAAUGACCAAAAUGCCUUUCCUAUUAAUAUUAGUGUUACUAAUUUAAUUAUGUGAAUUUUCCUUUAAAAUGAUGAAAUGGUUAGUUAUUAAAUUAUUUUUCUUACCUUACACGACGGAAGAAGUGAAUUCACUAAAAUAAUUUAUUUCAACUAAUUUUUUUCAAUUAUUAAUUAAUUAAAUUUAUGGAAGUUAACCUAAAUUAACAUAUGCAAUGCGAAUGGUGACCCAACAGCCCCAAACCUCAUCUUUUUCAUUUGCUUUCCCAAUUCUUUUUCUCCUCCAACACUUACCCAUUUUUUCAAUGAACCAUAAUCCCAAAUGAACAACUUCUUCACCAUAAGCCUCCUCAAAAUUGCAAUUACAAGUAUAGUAAGAUUCCUUUUAAACGGGUCAUUUCUAUUUCACUUUCAUUAGAGAAUUUCUUCAACUUGGCGGUGCUAAAAAUGAAGAAAAGAGGGAAUAGAUGACAAGGGUAUAAAUGGAAUAGAAAAUAUUAGCUUCUCUCUUUCUCUUUUCUUCGCACUUCAGCGAAGACAGCAAAAAUCUGUGGGCCCCACUAUUCUUUGGUCUCUCUUCUCUAUUUCUCACCAAACCAAACAGAGGAAGUUGUGCUUCUCUCUUCUUUUUCUCUCUUCAAUGGCUCUCUCGCUGCUAUUUCUACUCAACCAAACAAGGCGUUAGAGUGAGGUGUGCACGAUAGAAAAAAUAAAAAAUGCUAGUAAACUGAAAAAUCAAGCCAAACGUGGGGCGUCGUGUAUCUCCUAAAAUGAGAGAAUUCAUUAAUUAUCCGCGUAAAUGGUCGACCAACACUAAAUUCAAUAGGUCAUAAUGUUUUGGCUAGUAGGACAAAUGUAUACAGUAUACCAAUAAAUAACCAGAUUUGUAAAUUACCCAUCGCUUGAUGAAAUUUUUAUACAACACGUUAACCACCACUCUUAAAAUUUUGGAUCAAUUAAGUAAAUGGUCCCUAUAAAUAUUCAAAAUUAUAUUUUUAGUCCCUACAAAAUAAAAUUACAUUUUUUAGUCCCUAUAAAAUUUUUCAUCAGCAUUUUUAGUCAUUAUAAAAUUUUUUCAUUAGCAUAUUUAAUCCCUGUAAAAAAUUUCUAACAACAUUUUUUGUCCCUAAAAUGCUUAAGGAAAAUGUAAUAGGGACUAAAAAAUGUGAUUUUAUAUUUUGUAAAGACUAAAAACAAAACUGUGAAUAUUUACAGAACUAAACUUAAUUAACACUAAAAUCUUUAUCUAUAACAUAUUCAUAUCUUGGCCAUUUUUUUCAUCAUAAAAUACGGUUGAGAUGUACCACUCAAUUACUUUCGCCUAUUAUACCUUUUGACCAAAAUAUGAGUAAAUAUAUUUCUGUUUUUUAUUUUGCAAAAUUUCUCAUGAACCAAAUGAAUAUUAACGGUAGAAUUUCGGCUGUUGCUUUUCCAGAACUUGAACCAUCAACAAACUUACAUCUCUUGUGGUAGACCAUAUCUUCUUAGGCGAAGAAACCCUCACAUGAUCAGAAAUUGGGACUACACACGUCUAUUUAUUCAUGUGAACAAGCUUGUUAUCUUGACAAAUUCCAACUUGGUGGCCAUAUUUCCCACAACUAAAACACACAACAUGUAAUCCUUCUUUUUCAAGAUUAAGUACAAGACCUAAAAUACUUAUAGUGAACUUUAGAAUGAGUUUCUUGUCCAUAUCCAUUUUUAUAUAAGAGAUUUGCUAGAACACACCCAUUAGUUUUUAUGUGUGAAUGUUUUAGCAAGCUACACCUUAGGAUGUAUUUAACUACUUUUUAUUUAUAACUUGCUAAAACACUCAUUCUAAAAAAUAAGUGGGUGUAUUCUAGCAAAUGCAUACAGGAGUUGCUAACAUACACCCACUUAUUUUUUAGAAACGGUGUUUUAGCAACAUUCAUCUUAAGGUGCAUUUAACAAUUUUUUAGUUAUAUCUUUGUUAAAACACACCUUAAUAAAAACUAGUGGAUGUAUCCUUGCAAAAACCCCAUAUAUUUAUUACAUAAAUCUGCUGCAAAGCUACUACUUUGACUGAAAUGUUAGAAAUAGGACUAGACCAAAACACACCCUUCCAUCACUGUAACAGCCUUCCCACGCAAAAACACUCUUUGUUUUUGUUCAUCAAUAUGAAUAUUGAGAAUUCCCCCUCUAGCUGAUGCCUGAACAAAUGUAAUCUAAAAUUUAGUACCACAAUAACAAAAAUAAUCAUAAUGAGGGAAUAGAAAAGAUAGUAAUAAUAGUACUACCUGAUAAGCCUUUAAAUCACACUUUCCUAGUUUCUUGCUCCAAUAGGAUGCCAAUCCACAAUGUGCACUCCCACAAACUGGAUCCUGAAAAGAAAAAUGAGUUACUAUCAGCAUUUUUUUGGAGGCAUUAGUAAUGUAAUUGGAAGAAGAUUAUAUAAUCAUAGUUCAACCUCAUUUACUCCAAAUUUUGGGCAGAAAAAUCGACUGUAGAAAUCAAAUCCCGACUCUGGAGGAGCGAUCCCUGUAACAAUUAUCCCCCUUCCAGGAGAUUUUACAAUUGCAUCAAAUUGUGGUUGCACUUCUAUGACAUUCUUUCCAGAUGUGACAACAACCUAGGAGAAAUAAUAAGCUUCAUAAUGUUCUAUAUGCACAUAUUGCAAAAAAUAUUCAAUCUGUUUUUUCAAAUACAUUUUCAAAAACUUCAAAUAACAUCUUCUCUAAAAAAAGAAUUAUCAAUAGAAAUGGAAAGAAAAAAAAAAAAAAAAGAAUUAUUAGGAAUUACAAGUAAGUCAUCUUGAAUUUGUGUCCUCUUUAUAUCAAUUAUGGAAGCUCCAUCCAAUGCUUGAGAAAUGAGCCAAGUGUCGUCGAAUUUGAACUCUGUGAUAGGGUCAGCAGGAAAAUCCAAUUCAAUAUAAGAUACAUCCUUGGCUUUACCAUUUUGCAAAUUCUUCUUAUCACUAGUGCCAUUGAUCGCUGAGAUCUUUUUGGCAGUUAACAUUCCAGAUAGUGUCACAAAUUCAAUAGUAACAUUGUUGUCCACUAAACCAGAUGCAAAGAGUGCAUGAGAAGCUGCUAAUGUGGCAUGGGCACAAAUAUUAACCUGUAUUAUAAUAUGAUCCAGAUAAUAAUGUUAGUAAUAGUUGACAAAAAAAAAAUGUUUUUUUUGUUACCGACAAAAAAAAAUGUUAAUAAUAAUUAAACAUUGCAUUUAAUAAACAUAUACUAUAUAUUAUGUUGCAUCGGUACGUGUAUCGUGACGUAACAAUACAAGCACGAAAAAUGACAAUUUUAAAAGUAAUAAGGUACCAAUGCAGAGGGAAGACAAUGGUCCAAUGGGUACCGUUGGGCAGGGUACAAUAGGGGUAGCACUUGAGUGAUAUAGAGUUGGGUACAAGCAUUGUGACACUGUGAUUGACCAAUGUCACCAAACUCUAUGUCAUCCAAGUACUAUCCGGUACUAUAGUGCUCAAUCUCAUACCCGCUUUAUAAAAAUUGUUCUUACCCGGCCACGUUUAUAAAAUAAGAGUUUUAUAACAUGUUAAAAUUUUCAAUUUACAAUAAAAGCAUGAAUGAGGAAUAAUGGAGUAGUAGACAAGUACUCAUGUUUCAGAGACUGCAUAUGUUCACGAAAGUUGGUCCAACUCGCAAGGAGUUGAUUGUUAUCCCACAAUAUUGUGACUUCAAAUACAGCAGAAAUCGGGUGAAUAGACUUCGCUGGUAAACAAUUUAGUAAGUAUCCCUAUCAAUAGUUUAUGAAUCUUGAGACGUGCUCCGAUUCUGAUGAGCCCCCAAGACCUAACUCAUCUACUUAUGAAGAAGAAAAAAAGUGUGAGAGUUUGUGGUACUGGAUAAUUAGUUGUACUAUACCUCAACAAUGGGAGUAAACCAUCUAAGACGAAAACGGGGAUUAGUAGUUCCCUUGACAGGAAUCAAAUAGCAGGUAACAUUGAUGUUGAACUCAGCUGCUAAUACUUGCAACCAUUCAUCAUCCUUCUCUUGAUCUAACAAACACACUGCUGCAGGGUUCCCCUUGAACGCCAACUCAGUAAAAGCAUCCACCUGUGUAAUAACAUUAGCAUUAUUAACUAUAUUUCAUCAACAAUAACUAAGUUCAGAUUCAAACAAAAUAAACUCACCACAUAGUAUUUCACUGGUUUCUCUGACAUUGGCAUAUUAUAUGAACAGGUGUUAGUUAGUGCUAUAUAAAAUGGAAUGUCAAACUCAAAGUUGUUAUUUCAUAAUAUGAACACAACCUACUCCAACAUGUUCCAAAGUAUAUACAGACACUGAUGUAGUAAUGUUUGUCUUGUAUGAUUUUAAAAAGAUUCUUUAUGUUUCCUCGUGGCCAGUUUGGCAAUAACAUUGCCGGUAGUUUUGGACAUGGGCACACAUUCUCCUGUAUGUCGUGUUACGUCUCUGUCCCAAGAUUGUACCUUCUUCUUGAACAACAUUGUGGGAGUAAAUAUGGUUAAAAGGUGUGUUAUUUGAACGAUCAUUUGCAUGACAACUUACGAAACAAUCAUAAAUUUACAAAGAAAAUUAGAUAAAUAAUAGAGAGAAAAAGUAAAAAUAUAAUGUAUGUAUGAAAGAGAAAGUUAUCACAGAUUAAAUGUACAAAUAUUAUUUCUCUACUUUUAACUUAAACAAGGGAAUUAUUUAUUUGUUUGACUUAUGAGUACAGAAGUGUGCCCUACCCUCUGGCUUUGCCUCAAGCUCUCUGCUCCAGUCCAUGUUUUAAAGGAAAAAGCUAAGUUGUGCGAGACAGUGGCCUACGGAGAAAAUCACUUACUCAUGAAAAUUAGUUAUUUAUUUUGUUAAAUAAAACACUCAUUAUAGGAUGUAGAGGGAGGAUCAAUGCUACUUUUAAAAAGGUCAAGGAUCUAUAAUGCUCUAUGUGAAAAGGCAACGUUGAGAAUAGACAAAUAUUGAACUCCCAACAAUGUUUAGUGAAAAGCUUGAAUGUCCAGCUUCAUCAAAUCACGGUAAAAUGGAUAUUGAGGCGCGAGAAUUUUGGUUUCAGCGUGAAACCAAACAGGCCACUCGUCACAACUCACAAGUUCAACCGAUAACUUACUACCUCCUCAAUUAUUUGCCCUCUGACAAGCAUAUGAUUCAUGAUUGACUUGACUAAUUCGUAAUCCUAUGUUUAAUUACCCUAGCAAAACAAUUAUCCAACGUCUCAUAAUUUUUUAUUUUUUUUUUAAGAAUAAUAUUUUAUUGAUUGAUUAAUUGAUAGCAACAAGAAAGUAGCCGAUUGGAAUGGUCUUGCAUCAGUCUUACUUUUCUUUUUUAAAAAAAAUCAAUUUUACUUCUUAUACUUGUAUAUCUUUUUUGUCAAAAAAAAAAAAAAAAUAUUUGUAUAUCUUUAUAAAUAGAGCCUAGAAUCGGGAGUUGAGCCACAAGUAUAGAAAAAUCAAGUUUAUCAUGUUAACUUGUGCCCUAAUCAAAAAUAAAUAAAUUCUUGUAUUGUGAAUAUAAAUAAUUAAACAUUAACAACAUUGAAUGCAAAAAUUCUAAAAAGAUAUUUUUAUCUUUAGCUUUUUAACUCGUGUCUAUAUAUUGCCAUUUCCUUUUUAUUAAUAUUUUUUACAAUAAUGUGGAUCGUUGGAAUCGUCUCAACACUUAUUUUUACAUUGUAAUUUUUUUGGAUCUGUUUGGCACUUCAUUUAUAGGUGGUUAGGUUUGUCCGUGGCUGCCCCUUUACAGGUGUCGGAUCAUUUUGCUCAGUUUACUAGUAGUGCUGAUACCACUAAGGUGCACCAUUCUAUUCUUCAGGUUAUUUGGUUUGCUGUAGUUUGGGAAAUAUGGAAGGAAAGAAACAAUAGGUUGUUCAAUGUCAAAGAUUGCUCGGUUAUCCAGGUGAUCGAUAAGAUUAAGUCGCUUGCUUUUACGUGGUUGAGGACGAAGUUUAUUUCUCUUUCCUUCAAUUACCAUUGGUGGUGGCUUAGUCCGUUUACCAUUUUAGGCAUUGGCUAAGAGUUUCUUUUCUGUUUUUGUUUAUGAUCUCUUAGGUAACUUUUGUAUAUAUUGUUCUUGACUCUGAUGUCCUUUCCUGAGUAUGUCUUGUGCUCGGAAAGACUUUUUUGAAGUAGUAUUAUAAUUCAUUUUAGCUUCUUCAAAAAAAAAUAUUUUUUACAAUAAACAUGUAUUUGAUUUGUUAAAAAACCAAGAACCGGGUAAGACAAAUACUUUUGUCCAACGUUUGAUUUAAAAAGCAAUAAAGAACUGCACAAAAUAAUGAUUUGAAAAAGCAAUAAGGACAUCACAAAAAAAGAAAUGGAAUAGACAUCUACCCUUUUUUUGCACCGUACCAAAUUAGUGGACAAAGUUUUGUUUAGAGUUUUUUUUUUUUGCUUAAAUGGAAAUACUGUUUUACAUCUUCACCAACUUUUAAAAAGUUGUUUUUAAUAAAAAAAUAAAUUAUUUUUAACUUUCAUUUAUCUCUUAUCUUUUCGAGAAUUGCUGAUCCCACAUUACAUAAGGCUGUGCCACACGAGUAAAUGUCGUUUUUACCCCUGCGGCAGUUAACUACCGAAGUUUGGAACCGGCUGCAGUUAACUUCCGAAGUUCCUUCGACAGUUAACUGCCGACGCAAAAAAUAAAAAAAAUAAAUGCCGAGGAACUCAUCAAUUUUUUUUUUAUGUUUGAGAUAUCCCACAUGGAACUCUUGAACUCAGUAUGGCACAAUCAACUAGCCCCAAAAUCCUUCGGCACGCUGAAGUAGUUGAAAAUUAAAUCCUGCAGUAAAUUAUCAAAGGUAUUUCCAUCUUAUGUUCUGGAUAAAUUGCAGAAGCUGGAGACGGUGAUAGUAACUGAUUGUCCUGCUCUGAAAGUUGUAUUUGAAACACAAAGUCUACAAGCAGAUGGAGGUAUGCAUAUAAGGUUGGAUAUGCAAUUGAAAACUCUCACUUUGAAGAAUUUACCGAUGUUGAAGCACAUAUGGCAUGGAAUCCUAAUGAAAGCAUCAAGUUCCGAAACAUCUGCCUAUUGGGAGUUAUUGAAUGCAAAGCCCUUAAUUAUGUUCUUCCCCUCUCCACGUACAUCUCAAACAUAAAAAAAAAAAAAUUAUGAGUUCCUCGGCAGUAAAGUGACGAGGUUUUUUUUUUUCGUCGGUAGUUAACUGCAGCCGGUUCCAAACUUCGGUAGUUAACUGCCGCAGGGGCAAAAACGUCAUUUACUCGUGUGGCACAGCCUUAUGUAAUGUGGGAACAACAAUUCUCUAUCUUUUCCAGUUUUUCUUUUUUACCUUUCCUUACUUUGUGCGUUACGAUGAUUAUGAUAUCUCUUUUUUGCGUUGUUUAAAAGUUUAAUGUAAAAAAUUUAUCUUAGAAAUUGUACAUUCAAGACAUUGAACCAACACCAACAAUAAAUAACUUUUUCUACAUAAAAUUUAUCAAUUAUUUCUAUUUUUGAAUCAUUAACAAGUUUUCUAAGGUCAUUUGUUAAAAUAAUUCAAAAAAUUUAAAAUUUUGUUGUGUCUUUGCAUAGUGAAAACCAAACAUUGCACAUCAUAAAGGGUAUUGUAGUAAAUGUUACAUUAUUUUGUCUUGUGCAUUAACAUAUCAAACAAGGUACAAUACAAAAACUGUUUGUCCUGUGCAUCAACCAUCAAACACAACGGCGAUACAAUUUUUUUUCUCCAGUAUCCAACCUUUUGCAAAUCAAAGUCACCCUGAACGAACAAAUUAAAGCCCAAUGAGGUAGGAUAAAAUUUGACUAUAGUCUACACUAAUAAACCAAUAUACUACUAUUUAAUACAUUAAAAGUCUUUCUUUCGAACUAGUGUCUUUUGUGCUAUGAAUUUUUAUCAAAAAUUGGACGUCAAAUCAUAUGAUGAAUGAAUGUUUAAAUGAUUGUUUGAUUAUUUAUAUUAAAAGAGAUACUUUUAUAGUUUUAUUGACAUUGAAACUGAGCAAAUGAUUUAAUAUUCAAAUGAUAUAAAAAAAUCGCAUAGAACAAUUAUCAUAUAUAUAUCCCUCUGUAAAAAAAAAUUAUAAUACUCCCUCCGUCCUAAAUUGUAUGAUGUUUUGGGCAUUUCAUACAUAUUAAGAAAUGUAAUUAAUAUUGUGUGGGAAAGAGAUAUUAUGAGUUGUUUUACAAAAUUAUCCUCAAUAAAUGAUAUGAGAAAGAUAAAUGAAGGAAUUGAAAGAAGAGAGAGUAAUAAAUAGUUAAGGAUAUAAUAGGAAAAGUAAAUUAAUUUUUCAUUGGUAUUGUAAAGCGAUAUAUAAUUUGAGACAAAUAUUUUUUCUAAAGUAACAUACAAUUUGGGACGGAAGGAGUAUACAUUUAUACUUUAAAAUCUAAAAUAUUAUAUGUUUUCUACGCUCGCUAGAAAGAGUAUACUCUCUGUUCUUUUUAGCUAUUAUUUCAGAGUUAUUUGUAUAUACCAAAGAAAAUUAGUAAAUGUUACUAUAUUAAUUCCCCUAAAAAAUGUUAUAUUACUUUUGUUGAUAUUAUAUUUUAUCUUUAUAAUAUUUUUAACAAUUUAUUAUCUCAUUUCAACUAUUGUUCUCCUUGUAAUAAAUUGCACUUUUUCUUCCUAUAGUUUGCCAAUUGUGCAAUUUUGCACCCCAUAGUUUUAAACGAGCAUCCCCUAUAGUUUUUCCCCUUUCUGAUUUUAUGGUCCCCAUGACAUUUAAUGCUGAUAUGUUUGUUUCACGUGCCCCCUUCUCUCAAAAUCUGAAAAAUACCAUUUUUUUUAUUUUUUAAAAAAUGGAAUUACACACGUGGAACACAUUAAUUGAUAAAAAAAUCAGCACUAAAUGUCAUGGGGACCAUAAAAUCAGAAAGGGGGAAAACUAUAAGGGGCAAAAUCGCUCGUUUAAAACUAUGGGGUGCAAAAUCGCACAAUUGGCAAACUAUAGGGGGGAAAAGUGCAAUUAAGCCUACAAUAAUUAAUGUCACGUUCAAUUUUAAAAUUUUAAAAAUGAAAGUUAAAAAUGAACACAAGAGCGUUUAUAUUAGAUUACACCGAUAUGUUCUCGUGAGCUUAGCUCAGCUGGUAUGAACAAAUGCAUAAUAUAUGCAAAGUUUGGAGUUGAAACCCCAGCCACCACCAAAAAAGAUUACACCGAUCUCUUAUAACUUAACUAAGUUUGAGUUCGAAUUAGUUUUAAGCAUGUUAAUGUUUCUCCCUUAAAGGCAUGUGUGCAAAUAGGAUCCAUACACACUAUUCAUAUCAUGAACAAAGUACAGCACAAAGUAUUUAUUUAUUCAAGUCAUUAACUUGAAUGAGGAUUCAAGUAUCAAAAAUGAAAAUCCAAUUUUAGAAUAUUUAUUUAUCACCCCAACAUGGAUUUUGGAAGUUGGGUAUAUUUUUUUCAAUGUUACACAAGAGUUUAAAAAACACAUCUGCUAUGAGUGCAAGUUUGCUACUACUUUGACUGCAAUGUUAAGAAUUGGAUUAGACCAAAACACACCCUUCCAUAACUGUAAUAGCCUUCCCACGUAAAAACACUCUUUGUUUCUGUUCAUCAAUAUGAAUAUUGAGAACUCCUCCCCUAGUUGAUGCCUGCACAAAUGUAAUCUACAGUUUAGUACAACAAUGACAGAGAUAACCCAAUGAGAGAAAAUGGUAGAAUAGUACUCUCUCUCUCUCUCUAUCCCACAACAAGUAAUAAUAAUAUAUUUGAAAAAAAUGUGUUUCAAAAUGAGUGUCACUCUCAAUUUUCAACCUAAUAUUAAUUUCUUUUCUCUAAUUAUACUUUCUGAUUAGUAAUUAUGUGCAUCACUUUCAAGUCAAUAACUUCCUUAGUACGUGUAAAAUAAGCAAAUAUGACGCUUAUCGUGGAAUAGAGAGUACCUGAUAAGCCUUUAAAUCACAUUUUUCGAGCUUCUUGCUCCAAUAGGAUGCCAAGCCACAGUGGGCACUCCCACAAACAGGAUCCUGAACCAAAUAUGAGUUAUCAACAAUAUUAUCUAAUUUCUUCUAUUUUCAUAUCUUCAAUUGAAUAUAGACUGGACUUGCUUUCUAUAAUAUCCUUUUUUUCUUAGAAAUGACCAGCAUUGGACCUUGUAAUUUGUAAACAUAGGUAGUAAUAACAAUAUUAUAACUAAAGUAUACACUCAGAAGAGAACUAAUGUUGUGUUAAAAUACUCAAAUUCUGAACCUUACCUUGGAUAUUGUAUAUUCAACUCUUCAAUCCAUUUGCAUUGUUAAGAAGACCUUAACAAUGCAAUUGGAGGAACAUUAUAUUCAUAGUUCUCAACCACUUACCUCAUUGAUUCCAAAUUUUGGGGCGAAGAAUCGACUGUAGAAGUCAAAUCCAGACUCUGGAGGAGCAAUCCCGGUAACAAUUAAUCCCCUUCCAGGUAAUUUAGCAAUUGCAUCCAGUUGUGGCUGUAUUUCUGUGACAUUUUUUCCAGAUGCGACCACAACCUAGAAGAAAUAAUAAGCUUACCAAUUUUGAAUGUGCACAAAUUACACAAAACAUAGUUGCAGUUUUGCAUUUAAGUAGACUUUGUUCGCAGUCUUUCUGCUAGUUACUAAAUAUUGUGUUAAUAAAUAUGAAAGUUAGAAGACUAAGGAAUUACAAGUAAAUCUUCUCCUGUUUUCUUUAUAUCAAUUAUGGAAGCACCAUUUGUUGCCUCAGAAAUGAGUGAAGUAUCAUCAGAAUUGAAUUCUGCAACAGGGUAAGCAGGAAAAUCCAUUUCAAUAUAAAAUCCAGCUGCAGCUUCACUAUUCAGCAAAUUCGGCACACCAGUCACAUCCAUCGAUGGGAUCUUUCUAACUGUUAAAACUCCAGACAGUGUCACAAAUUCAAUAACAUUCUUGUCCACCAAACCAGAUGAAAACAGUGUGUGUGCAGCUGCUAAUGUAGCAUGGCCACAAAGAUUAACCUGUAGUAGUAUUAUAAUAAGAUCCAUAUAAUGUUAAUACAAAUUGUUUAUAUAAUGUAUUUAAUAGCCUAUGUCUAAGAAUAUUGAAAAGUCUCUGAUUAAAAACAAGUGUGUGUGAUUUUAUGAACAUAAAUUGUACCUCAACAACAGGAGUAAACCAUCUAAGACCAAAACGAGGAAUAGAGGUUCCAUGAAUAGAAGUCAGAUAACAUGUUUCCGAGAUGUUGAAUUCAGCAGCUACUGAUUGCAACCAUUCAUCAUCUUUAUCUUCUUCUAAUAAACACACAGCUGCUGGAUUCCCUUUGAAUGCUGAAUCGGUGAAUGCAUCAACCUGUGUAUGUACAUCAUCAUAUUACUCAGAUUCACACAACAGCUAUGUUUUUUUGUACAGUAAUAAUAACAAAUACAGUUAACAGUUAAAUAAAUAAGCAAACAUACCACGUAGUAUUUGACAUGUUUCUUUGCCAUUUGAUGAUGAGGGAACAAGUGUUGGAGAUAAAACUGGUCAAAGCCCCUAUGGAUGCUGUGGACACAGUCAAUCCACCUCAAUAAUAUAUAGUAAAUGAAAAUCAAAUACACACACACAUGUUUUGAAUCUGGACCUCUGUACCAAAAAAAUAUUAAAUAAUAUGGACCCCUAUAAUUAUAAUAAUAGGCAAUUGCUAAGAAGGGAAAGUGUCUCAUGUGAUAUACCAAGGUUGUUUCCAACUGAACUUGAUACUUCAUCUUUAGGUCUAUCAUCACCUCUCAAGAUAUGUAUUAUUCUAAACCUUUCACCCACCUUAAUGAAGUAAUAUAUAUUAAUUUCAGCGUUAGAAUGUCAGCAUUACAUCCCUACCAUUGGACUUUGUCUUGUCUCCGAGGCAGUCCCAACCAAACAUUAUUGUCUUACGAGCAUUUCUUCCACCAAUCCGCUGUUACACUCUGAGUUCGGUAUAGAAUAAAGGCCAUUGUAACUUUUUUAAGUAGAAAGUUAAGGAUUUCCAUGUCCUUAGUACUUCAGAGAUAGUGAGCGAGAGUGUUGAUUCAGACAAAAACAAGAAAAAGGAAUAAAGUUUUCAACACUAAUAUUUUGUUUUUUCUUUCACCUAAAAAAAAUUGUUUUUCUAGUUUCUAACUCAAGAAAAAUACUUAGAUGGUCAGGACCAUUUAGACAUGUCAUCUAGAGCACACAACAAAAUAUCAUUCAAUUAUAGACGUCAACUUGAUUCAGUAUUCAAGUGUCAAAAUCGAAUUAUAGACGAUUUUAUAAUCAUCCGAAUACGGAUUUUUGGUCUAUUAUUUGCAAAGUUAUACAAGAGUUCAAAUAGACGACAUCUAUUCAUGACAUUAACAAGGUUUCCAAACAUCAAUAUCAUUUUUAUCUGCUCAUGCAUUGGAUGAAUAUGAACAACUAUUCCACUAGAUGAUGCCAACUCAAAAGCAAUCACCAGACCAAUUUAUUCAACUUAAUAAAUCCUACAACACUCAAACCAAGAUUUGUGUAUAUCAAAUACACAAAAUGCUCAGGACUAGACCAAAAUAAUUAAGUGCUCCAAUAACAAUUUUAUCAUCUGAUAGUAAUUAUUACAUGUAUUGGUGCAUGUAUUUGACUGCAAUGUUAGGACUAGGACUAGACCAAAACAGAUCCUUCCAUCACUGUAACAGCCUUCCCACGCAAAAAAACUCUUUGUUUUUGUUCAUCAAUAUGAAUAUUGAGAAUUCCCCCUCUAGCUGAUGCCUGAACAAAUGUAUUCUAAAAAUUAGUACCACAAUGACAAAGAUAAUCACAAUGAGGGAAUAGAAAAGAUAGUAAUAUAAUAGUACUACCUGAUAAGCCUUUAAAUCACACUUCCCCAACUUCUUGCUCCAAUAGGGUGCCAAGCCACAAUGUGCACUCCCACAAACAGGAUCCUGAAAGCAAAUAUAGGUUAUUAACAACAUUAUCUCAUUUCUUCUAUUUUCAUAUCUUGAUGCAGUUUAACAGUUGAAUGUCGAAGAUCAAAAUCUGAAGCUUUACUUCGACAUUCAGUAUUGAAACAUUCUAGUCGUAAUUCUUAGCCAUAUACCUCAUUGAUUCCAUGUUUCGGGCAGAAAUAUCGACUGUAGAAGUCAAAUCCGGACUCUGGAGGAGCGAUCCCUGUAACAAUUAUCCCCAUCCCGGGACAUUUAACAAUUGCAUCAAAUUGUGGUUGUACUUCUGUGACAUUUUCUCCAGAUGUGACAAGAACCUAGGAGAAGUAGUAAACAAACAGUUGAUAUUUGGCAUGUUAGAGUAAAGUAGCAUGAGAUAUAGAUAUUUACUACUCCUUUCCUCAAUAAUCAAGCAGGUUCACAGAUAUUAAAUAACAAUAACAUAUGGUCUUCAGCAUACUCUCAAGGAUAUGUUGUUUUCUUGAAAUAACAAUAACUAAGAUAUCAUUCAUGUUAUCUAUACAAAGUAACUACCAAUUUUGGUGGGACUUUGCUUAUACAAGUUUACUAUUAACAGCACUUUUUUUCUUCAAAUCUUACGGCUACCAUAACCACUAAUUAAUAUCUGCUUAUCAAACAAUAAAUAAAUGUGGAAUAGAGAAGAGGAAUUACAAGUAAAUUAUCUCCAUUUGUUGUCCUCUUUAUAUCAAUAAUGGAAGCACCAUUCAAUGCUCCAGAAAUGAGUGAAGUGUCAUUAGAAUUGAAUUCUGCAAUAGGGUCAGCAGGAAAAUCCAAUUCAAUAUAAAAUCCAACCGGAGCUUCACCGUUCUGCAAAUUCAGUGCACUAGUGACAUCGGUCCUCUUCGCAGUUAAAAUUCCAGAUCGUGUCACAAAUUCAAUAGCAUUCUUGUCCACCAAACCAGAUGAAAGUAGUGUAUGUGCAGCUGCUAGUGUGGCAUGGCCACAAAGAUUGACCUGUGGUAUUAUAAUAGCAUCCAUGUAAUGUCAAUAAUGGUAUAAAUUGCGAUUAUGAAGAUGAGUUUAUUAUCGUUACCUCUAAAUCACAAAGAUAUAAACUAAACAAACACAAAACUGUCCCUAAAAGCACAUCAAUACAAUGGCCAGAUUAGGGUAUUCUUAAAUUUCUUUAGCAUACAUUUUAGUUUUGUUGGCAUUAAUGUCUGUUUUUUUUUCUCUUUAUCAAUCAUUAAGUUUCCCUUUUGUUACGUUAGAAGCAACCUUUGUUCAAAAGAGUAACAAAAAAUUCAAUGCAAAUAACGAACAGCCGGUCUUUGGCCAAUAUUGCCUACGUUUCAGACUGCUGAGACACGCGGCAGUUGCUUUGUAUUACUACCUCCGUUCCUUUUUAAUUGUCACUUUUUGAUAUUUUACACAAACCAAGACAAUCAAUAAAUGGUACUACUUUUGAUACAAUUGUUAUUACUUUUACUAUAAUGACCUUGUUAAUUUAAUAUUUCAUUUCAUAUGUUUCUCUCUCCGCAAUAAAUAUCUAAGGGUAAUAUUGAUAAAACAACAUUUAAUGAUGCAUUGAACUUUGAAACUGACAGUUAAAUAGAAACAAAAAUUUUCUCUAAAAGUGACAAUUAAAAAGGAACGGAGGGAGUAUAAACUAAAUAUUCAAGUUUACAGUGUACAGACGGUAUUUAAAUGCUACGAUCUAGAUUACAACGUUACCUCUGAACCUUUUAAGGCCAUUUCCGCUUAUUAGUUGUUGGGUCACUAGGGGAGCCUUAGGGGACUGUCCACAUCGAGGCUAGAACAACCGCACAAGCAAGAGAGACGCCACACUCUUACCCAAAACCUCAAGGCAAUGGGUUUAUGGGUCCUCUUAAGGUGUUCAACCUUUACUAUUUUAUCCGGGACAUAUAACUCACACUUGCAAACCAACAUUAGUAACUAUGAGUCAUACUCAACUUGCUUUCAAAAAUUGUCACAUGUACUUGGCUCUUAAAUUCUACGGUUACAUUAUACAAAAAGAAAAAAGUAUGUAUGAUUUGUGGUGAUAAAUUGCAGUACCUCAGCAACAGGAGUAAACCAUCUAAGACCAAAACGAGGAAUAGAGGUUCCAUGAAUAGGAGUCAAAUAACAUGUUUCAGAGAUGUUGAAUUCAGCAGCUACUAAUUGCAACCAUUCAUCAUCUUUAUCUUCUUCUAGUAAACACACUGCUGCUGGAUUCCCUUUGAAUGCUGAAUCUGUGAAUGCAUCCACCUGAGUAUGUACCUCAUCACUCAGAUUCACACAACAGCUAUGGUUUUCUUUCACAAUAAUAACAACAGUUAUAACAUUACUCAAUGAAAUAAAUAAAUAAACAAACUACAUACCACGUAGUAUUUCACAGGUUUCUUUGCCAUUGAAGAUAUUCUAACAGUAACAGGUCUUGCUGAUGAAACUGGUCGAUGUCCCUAUGGAAUGAGCAUAUGUACUAUACACAGCUCAGCCGCCUCCAAGACUUUAAAUGAUAACAUUGUAUAAAAGUUUAUGUAAAGUGUAUUGAAAAUUAAAAUUUUUGACUUUUUUUAUAAAUUUUUUUUUCUUAUUUUAGAAUCUAAAGAGUAUUAUGAGACACUCGUUAUCAAGACCUAAUUUAUUAUAAGUGAACAACAAUACAUAUAACACCGACUGGACUGGUCAAUGGUUGUUGGAGUUUUAAUUAAAUCAUUUUCAAACAUUAUUGCUGUAGUAUAAUGAGACAAUUCUGUGGAGUAUAAGAGAAAAAAAAAAAAAAAAAAUACUCCCUCCGUCCUUAUAUAUAACACCCUUUUGCCAAAAUCACAUGAAUUAAGAUAGUGGAUAUUUGUAUUAAAGUUGUUUGUAAUCACUAUUGUUUUUACAAUUUUAUUCUUUAAGAAAGAAGGUUAUUUAUAUUUUCAACAUGUUAUUUAUUGUUGAUUGAAGAAAAAGAUGUAUAAUAAAUAGGAGCAUGUAUGUAAAGAAAUAAUUAAUGUAGUUGAAAAUAACAAAGGAGUCUUAUAAAAAGGGACAAAAAAAAUUCUCAAAAUGGUCUUAUAAUUAAGGACGGAGGGAGCAAUAUCUUCCAACAUGACGUGAUAAAAUUGACUUCUAAAGACAAAAAUCUCUUACCAACAAACAUUAUUUAUAAAAUUAAAGCAAUGAACCCUUUAGUCAAUCUUCAUCUGUUUAAUUUGUGGUCGAAAAUUUUAUAUAAAAAAAUCUCUUACGCUAAAAUUCCCAACUUUUUGAAGAUGAUUCAAAUAAGGAGAUGUUGUAUUUUACUUUAGUCAACAGUAUUAAUCAAUAUCUUAUUUGUAUUCAAUGUAAAUCUUAGGCAAUAGCCAAUUUUCUGCUCAAUUGUCUUCUAAUCUUUAAUCUAAGAAUCUUGAUGAACUACUCUCGCAUUGAAUUUAGAUUGUUGGCCGGAAAAUAGGUAAAAUUUGACCAAAAAUUGCUCAAUCAAGAAAUCGCUAGCCAUCUCGUUUUAUAUAUACACAGACACAUAUUGACAUAUAAAUCGGAUAAUCGUAAGUUUUCAUAAUUAAUAAUUAAAAUCUUAUUUCAUAAGCUACAACAGAGAAAACCAACAAUCAACAUUUUAUUGUUGACUGAUGGUAUCAACCAAUUAAAAAUACAGGUUGGCGAUGAACUAAUUUACAGUGAUAUUUGGAAAAUAAAUUAAAAUUAACUACAGUUUGAACACUGUCCAUCCCCGUACAAAGGGAGGGGCUUGAUUUUAGUUCUGAGAAUAUCCAAUAAUGGGUUUUAUUGUAUGGACAAUGGACAGCAGUUCUGCCCAGAACAAACUACCAACUUCCUUCCUUCGACAUUCUCAGGAAAUGGGACAGAGUGAUCUUUGGGAGCUCCGGAGAAGCCCUUUUCUUCUUCUUUAUCUUAGUCGUCUUUGACGUCUCUGUGCCAUUCAGAUCAGACACCGUGUCUGACGCCAGAUUGUAGAACUGUUUACAAAAACAUCACAGCAAAAACUCUUAGUUUUUUGUGAACAUUUUUCUUCUGUCAUAAUAGAGCAUCAUAUUUUCAGCAUAUUAACAGAGGGGUAGCUUAUCUGAUACUUACCUCACAAACUCCAUGCAGCAACAAUCUAUGGAAAGGAUCUUUAAUACUAAGUUCAAGAAGGUCUCCAUCUGUGCUUUCGGUUAUGAAGGCCCGUAGACAUUCCUGGGAGUAAUGAAGGUUCCAUGUAAACGCCGACAAACAGAUUUUAAACACAGCAAAGGAAAAAAUACAACAAGCACUGAUAAUUUAGCCCCUUUUCCAUGUAACAGGACAGAGCAGCAUCAUAAUAAUCAGGUAUAUACCUCAUAACCCUCUAUGAGUUCAAAAAGAGAGCUGCGGCGAAGUGCCUCUCUUGUAUUACUACCAACUCUACGCCAACCAUUCAACACAGCCAUCUUGUCAGCAUCAAUGCGACCUUCCUUCUUUUCUAAAGAAUUUUCAAAGGCGUGAAUUAUAUUAACCUACCAAACAGAUAAAUCAGAUAGUUGUUUGUCAGUUGUGAAUUGUGAACGCACCACAUCCAUGAAAAUAUAAUCAUAGCAAUUUUCAUACGACAAUAAGCAUGUCAGCAACCCUUUCAAAAAAAAAAAAAGCAUGUCAGCAACCAGCAUACAGAUUAUAUUUUCACCUUGAUCUAAACUAAUAUAAUUCCUCACACAUGUACUCAUAGUUUCACGUGAUUAGGUAACCCACACAAACCACUACAUAUGUAAAUUUUACACAAACCAUGAUAACACUAACAAGAUCUCAAGCACUAUAAACACAAGUCACACCCUAAACAACAUUAGGACCAUCCCAUCAUAAAAAACUGCUAAAGAAACAAGGGAAAUUUUGAAGUUAUAACUAGAAGUUGCUUUGCCAAGUUAAAAGCCAAUAUUAACAAAACUGAUGCUUGUUGAAUCCAAUUACAAGGGCAUCAAAUUGCUUUCUUAAACAGUGGAAGUUUUGAAGAAAUGAUCUGCGAAAGAGAGAAAGAAAUAUAACCUCUUUGUCCAUGUCUAUAUUUCUGAAUCUGUCCCACUCCUCCACAUUAGUCAAGGAAAAUGUUGAAGGUGGAACUUCAUCACCUGUUUUAUGAACCCAAACAUUAUAAACAUAAAAAAGGGAACAACGGCCCAUAGAAAAAGGAAAGAAAGAAUAAAGCCACUAGGAUUGGACUAGUGGUGAGGGGCAUGGGUAGUUUGCACGAGGUCAUAGGUUCAAACCUCAAUGCGACCAUUGUACUCUAAGAAAGGAAAGAAAGAAUAGAUUAGAAAGUGGAUAUAAAAUUAUAAUAUCAAUUAAAGUUCCAAGCCAGUUCACUUUCACAAUAUCCUGCAUAUUUGAUGUAAAUUUUAUAUGCAUUCUCCUUCAUUCAAAUGCACUUAAAUAACAAAGCAUGCACACAGAGAAGAAAAACAUGAAACAUUAAAUAAGUUUCGUGUAUGGAAGAAUCCCAUUCUUGUUGCCUAAAUGCAACUGCAGUCUCAGGCAAAAAGAAAAGAAAAGAAAAAAAAACACCAGUAUAAGCGUUGUGAAUUACUGCAUAACACACACACAUCAGUCACACGAAUAAUUACCAAAUGGUGGUGGAGCAAACAAGCCUCUAAUUUCCUCUGCAUUUAAACGUGGCACAAGUUCCAUCAAGAGGCGGUCAUUUAACCACCUACGAGAUCUUCGAUUUGUGACCUGAAACAGUUAAAAUUAAACUCAAGUUAACUCAGAAUAAGUAAAACCAUGAAUUAAUACAAUACAAGCACUUUUAUGAAAACACAAAUAAACAAUUAGCAAAGAUUAUAGCUUCUUGUGACAUAAUUACAUAAUCUUAAUUUCAGUUCAUAGACGCGCAGUUAUGAAAUUCUUCAUUUAUCCUCCAUAUUUAAGAUGCAAGAGCGACAUAUAGAGAACAAAUUCAGCUAAUAAAUACUCUCAUUAAGGUGAGUUCAUUAGAGUAAGGAAUUUGAAAUGAAUUAAAGCUAAACAAUUAUAAUCAACCAAACAUUUCCUUUUUGGUGUUAGCCCUCUGGUUCCUGGGGAAAAGGACUCUGGUAAUACAGAGUUCGGCCGUGAGGUAGCCAAGAAUUAUUCCACUCAGGAAUCCAAAUCGGGUACCCCCGAUCGAUUCGUCCUUUGGCGGAGCUCAUUAACCACUUGAGCUUAAUCACUUGAUUACAACCAAACAUUUCUUAUAGAGUUAAAAACCAAUUAGAAAUUCUGAUUUGUUUUGUUUCAUUGAAAAGUUGAUAAAAUGUCACUCUGUCAUCUCAUAAAUACUGAUAAGUUUCAUAUUUUGUUCCAUUAUGUAUUGAUAAAAAUCCCAUAACAAAUAAAAAUAAAAAUAAAAAUAAGAACAAAAACUUCCAUUUGUUUCUUAUUUAUCUCACACACUUAACAGAGACAGUAGCAAUAGAUAAAUGCUGAAACAAAAAACAAAUGAUUAUUUUUUUCAAUUGACACAGACACACCUUUCCCGUAAAGCUUUCAAGGAACUCAAUUUUCUUUUCAAUUGACAUCGAAUUGGAUUUUGCACCAUCACCUGCAACAAAAAAAAAAAAAAAUGAAUUUUUUAUUUCAAAACACGAACCUGCAGAUGCAAAUGAAUAGUUGGAAAAUGAACCCCUGGGGUGGUUGAUCAAAUGAGAAGAAAGGAGAAGGUCGAGAUCUCUGUGCUGAAGAACCAUGAUUGUUGAUUGAUGAAGCAAGUAGAUCUAAGGAAGCGGUGAUAUAUGAGAGGAUUGAAACGAACUGAAAUUGAAUAAUGAUUUGUUUCAAGUCAAGAUAAACAAACUAGUGGAAGAGGUAUUUUUUGGUCUCUCAGGGGGAAUAUUCUUUUGCUUAAUUAAUGCAAGUACUGGACCGGGUCCGUCACACGCUAAUCACUUUCUUUUUCCUUUUUUAAAUAUAAAUUAAAAGUCAUUAUAAAUAAAUAUGAUGAAUCUAUCAACAAACUUACAUUAUUAUUAAUGUUAAUAGUAUAGAAUGACAAAUUGAAUAUGUCUACAAAAUAUGAGUUUAUGCAAGUCUAUGGAUCUGAAAUGCUGACAACGUAAAAGUUAUUGAUUAAAUUUGCAUGUGAUUAAAGUUAAUUUUUCAACUCGAAACAAAUAAACAUCGCAUAAAGACAAAAAAAAAAAUCAAAAGAAAUGUAUUCGUGCUAAGACGAUGAAAUCACUAAGCAAACGAAAGAAGACUUAAAAUAUAUGAAAAUCGUUUAGUUUGACUAGAAGAGAAAGAAAAACAAUUUAAAUGAGUAAUAUCGAGGCAAAAAUGACUCAAUAUCAGUAGAUCAAAAAGAAGAAAAGUGAUAAUGAUUCGGGUUUGGAAACGAGAUAAAAAUGGUGAGAAAAAGAGAAAAGUAUUUUUCUAUUGUAUUUCACCAAUUAAAUGUCCAUCACGAUUUUUUAAUAAGAAAAAUUAUUUUUCCAUAUUUCAUGCUUGUCGCGUGUCCUUUGAAAUUUUGAAAAAGCUAUGAAUUUCGAAUUCUAAAUUCAAAUGGGAUAUUUUGGUCAUUUUCAAUUGGAAAAAUAAUUGGAUCAACAUUCCAAACCAUGUUAAGAACAUUUGUCACCCCUUUCAACCAUCACCCCGAACACCUCAUCCUAAAGAAAUCUCCUGGCAACUAAUACCAAAUGAUUUUCAGACAAAUCAAAGAGAUGCUUGAACCUAUCAUGUAAGGGACCGUCCUUUGACCACAAAUCAAUUUAAAAAAUAAUUUAGUCACAUCAUCCACCACCCGCAACAAAUUAUCAUCAAACUAAGUCUCCACCUCCGCUUUCGCACCUCAUUAGAUAUCCACCAUAUCUUUCCAUUUAGUUGACCGUCCCUCCCUCCUUGCCCUCCUUCCUACCCGUACAUAGUGAUUAAAGCCUUAUAUCACAUAUCCCCUGAUCCACAUCCUAGAUAUUUGUUUACGUAACAAAGUUAUAUUAAACUCCCAAAUUAAAUAAUGUCUAAUCAUAAAAUUUUACUAUCUUACGUUUUUCUAUUCAUAAAAUUAAAGUGUCUCUGUCAAAGGAUGUAGUGGUUGUUAGAUUGCCAAUAUUAUGGAGAGGUUAAUUGUACACUGCACAAGUAAAAUUGUAGUGCGUAGUGCAAUAUUUUUUAUACUAUUAGAGUAAUAAAUCGUAAAAUGUUGAGACUUAUUGUUUCAAUGGUAAAAACAAGGGAAAAUUACACACACUUCCCUUGAGGUAUGUACAAAUGUCACUCACACCCCCUUGAUUUCUAAAAAAACAUUGACCUCCCUUAUAACUUAACACUGUUAUAAUUUUGACGGAAACUACUUAACUGCAAUUCUUUCCUACACUGUUACCAAACAAACAUAUUACCCUCAUGUUCAUCGAGUUACUUCCAGAAUUAAACACUGCCACCAAACUAGUUAAUUAAGUCUAAACAAUUGUUUUCAUGGCCGUUUCCACGUAAACUAUAAUGAAAAAACUCAAUUGCCAAAUUUAAAAUUUCUUAAACACGUUCCUUAAUCUCCAAUAAAUAUUUCAAUUCUUGCAUUCUUGAUUUUCAACUGAGUUAAAAAAAAAAAAAUUGACCAACAUUUGACUUUAAAACGUAUGGCUUUAAUUGUUGCUUAUAUGAGAUUGAUUUUGUUGGUGAGUAAAAUCUUAUUAACUUUUUACUAAGAAUAAAAAUUCUUGAGUUAUCUAAGAAAGUGGGGGUGUUGACAAAUCUAGUGACAAAGUGAAUGAAUGGAUAAACUACUAUGCAGGAUGAUGGAAGGAAGAAGAUAGGAGAACAGUUAAAUUAAGCUAACGCCGUUUGGACAGAGGGAUAUCAGGGCCGUUCCUAGAGUUUUACGGGUCUUGGGCAUAGUAUGAAAAAAGGGCCAUUUGUAUUACAUCAUUUUUCUUUUCUUCCGAUAAAUGAUGAAUGAGACAUGUAUUAGUUAUAGUGGUUGACAUACAUCCCAGCUAUGCUGGCACCCCAAGUCACUAUAAUACGAUAUUUUGACAUCCCAGCUAUGCUGACACCCCAAAAUAUUGUUUGUCAAAUACACCUCAUUCUAUAUAUUAUUAAUAAAAAGGAAAAACAAAACAAAAAAGUUGGGGGGGCCGAACCUAACCCAACAAAGUUAAAGUAAAAUUAUAGGUAUGGAUACCAACCUAUCUAUAGAGAAAAAAAACUCUAAUAAAACUAUGACUUAUAGAUAUAAACCAUCAUUGAGAAUAUACAAUAGUUGCACAAAAUAUCCAAAAAACUUCUCUUUUACUCGUGAAGUUAAAAGUUGUUUUUUUGAGCUUUUUGAGAUGCAAAAUCAUUUAUAAUGACAUCAACAUCAAUAUUCUUCGACAUUUCCUUCUCAAUUGACAAAGUAGCCAAACCGUUCAAUCUAUCUUGUGACAUUGAUGACCUCAAGUAGGUUUUAAUCAACUUCAAUUUUGAAAAACUUCUCUCUGUUGAUGCUACAGUCACGGGCACCGUCAAUAAAACUCUGUAAACAAUUGCUACAUUUGGAUAACAAUCUGCAAGUCUGACAAAUUUAAGAAUAUCCAAGGCAUUCAUUGUUUCAGUCGGCAAAGUGCAUUGUAACACUUUUAAUUCUGAGAAAAGAUCGUGAACAUCAACAUCUGAUAAAUCGCCAUGAGAAAAAGUUGAGUGAAAUUUAACACAACAUUCGUUCAACUCAUUAUCAUCCAAAAACAUUAACUUUUGUGAAUCAUACAAAAACCCAAAGACACUCUCAAAUGUCUUCAAUUCUUCAAAUCUAGUUUUCAAAGAAGUAAUUGUCAUAUCAACAACAACAAGAAAAUAGUUAACUCUAAAUGAUUCUUCCGGUGAUUGAUUUUCAUGUUCCUCAUUAUUCUCUCCAAAAUAUUAUUUUUUAAUCACACGACGUUUUGUUUGAAAGAUGGGCUCAACAUUCAUUUCAAGAGCAACACUUUUUGCAAGAUCAAUACUUUUUGUAAAACCUUCCUUUCGAUAUUUUUUAAAAUAUGACAACAUAUUUUCCAAUUGUUUUAUGGUAGAGUCGAUGCUCAUGGACUUAGAUUGCAACUUUUUGCUAACAGUGUUAACAGCAAAUAAAAUAUCAUACCAAACAACCACACCAAGCAAAAAUUCAAAAUUUUCUAGUGCAUUAAUCAAACUCUCCGCCUCACUCUUUGUCUUUGCAUCAUUAUCACAAGAUUCAUAUAAUUCUGACAAAGCCAAUCUUAUUUGGGGACAUUGAAAUCUAAUGGCUUUGACACUCUUAAUUCGACUUUCCCAACGAGUAUUAGACAAAUAUUUCAAAGCCAAUCUUUAUUGUAUUAUUUGACAUAUUCACACAACGAAUUAUAAGAGUCAUUUGUUCUUGAUGACUCAAAUCAGGGGUACAAUCAAGAAUUACCGAAAAGUAUUUUGCCUCUUUAACGAUGUUGAUGAUUGACCUUGUAACACUUUGUGACAAAAGCAAAAUAAUUUCAUUUUGAAUUUUAUGUCCAAGAUAAUGUUUAUGAAUUUCACGAUUCUCAGCGCGUCUCACAUGAUCUUGCAUUACCAAAUCAAAUUCCGCAAUCAUUUCAAUUAAUCCAAGAAAAUUACCAUUACUAUCUUGACUUAAUUUUUCUUUGGAUCCUCGAAAUGCAAGAUCAUUCUUAGCAAGACAUUUCACAACUGAAACUAUUCUACGUAAAACUAGUCUCCAACGCUCUUUUUCUUUCACAAUUUCUUCUUGCAAGUGUUUAUCAAUUGUCUGAUUUUUAUCAAAUCUCAUUCUCAAUUCAUUCCAAGUAUUCAUAUUACUCAUAUGUUCGACACCAUUUUCAUGUUGUUUGAGUCUUUGACUAAUAUGCUUCCAAUCAUUUAAACCCUCAGUUGCAAGUAAACUCAAGUUACUAGAGGUAGAAGAUUUAAACAAUUUACAACAAAAACAAUAUACUUUGUCAACAUGUUUGCAAUAAACUAGCCACUUUCGAUCACUAAUCUCACCAUUACUUAAUUUUCUUGAAUAAUUCGCAUAUGAGAAAUACCUAGAGUAUUUGUCAUUGGGAAAAUUAAGAUUCAUUUCUCGAAUAGGUCCCUUUUCAACUAGAAUAUCCCUUGAGGUGUUAUCAAGAUUCUCUCAAUUUGUUGGAUCAUAAAUAUCAAAAUGAGGAUCAUCACCAAAAUUUUCAAUAUUAUAUGCAUUUGGCACAUUAUUAGGAACAUUUGAAUUAUCAUCAAUUUCCUCAUUUUCAUGAUCCAAAUUUUCAUUGUUGUUGUUUUCCAAAUUUGGCACAUCAUUAGGAACAUUUUCUUGGGUAUCUACCUUUUUGAAAACAAAUUUAUCAAGAGCCCCUUGUUGUGAUUUUAUUAGCUCUUCAUUUCGUUUUCUUUUUUUUCGUUUUUCACUACCAGACAAAUGUUUUUUAGGCAACAUCUUAAAAUAAAUCAGAUACUCAAUAAAAACCAAUACAAACAAACAAAAAAGAAAAACCAUAUUAGUACUAGUAGUAAGUGAAGUAGAGAGCAAUAGCACCUUAAAAUAGACCGAAGUUUUAGCACCUUAAAAUAGACUGAAGUUUUAGCACCUGAAAAUAAAAGUACAACAAAAAACAAAAGAAAUAUAUCAACACUUAAUUAAGCAAAAAUCAAGAAUUGAAUUGAAAAAAAAUAUAUAUACAAAAAUCACGUGUACAUGUACAAACAAAACAAUUAAUUAAAAAAAUAUAUCAAAAAUAAAAAAUGAUUGUCAUAUGUAUGGUACGUGAAGUGAACUCUUAAAUCAAUAUCAUGCUAUAUGCUUUUAAGCUUUUUGGUGUACAGUACAAAUCAUGUUAUAUGGAAAAAUAAAAAAUUCAAUUGGAAAAAUCAUAAAUCAUUCAAUUAGAAUUUUAAAAUUCAACACCUGAAGCAAUUAGAUAAUUGAAACAAUGAUUAUCAAAGAGAAUUGGAAUAAGAAAAAAAAAUAUAAUUAGAAUUCAACACUUGAAGCAAUUAGAGAAUUGAAACAAUAUUAUCAAAUAGAAUUGGAAUAAGAAAGAAAAAAAAAAACCUAAAACAAUUCACCUGGAGAGAAGAGAAUGACUGAUUUUGUAACCUUUUGGUUUUUCUUUUUAGGUUUCUUUUUUCAUCUGUCUUUCUAGUUGCUCAAAAGAAGUUUUUGUUUGUGUGUUAGUUGGGCCCUUUCCAUUAUUUUCCUCUUUAUUGGGUCUUUCCACGUUUUUUUUUUCUGUUUUAUUCCUAAUGGGCCGAUAAAAUGAUUCAGAAUUAGGCCUGCUGGUACGAAUUACUAUACGCAUCCCACUUUUUCCUUAGCUUUGCUAUAUACACCCCCCUAAAAAAAAAUUAGGGCCCCCUACGAGCAUGAGCCCUAGGCCGUCGCACUCGCGGCCUAUGCCUAAGGCCGGCCCUGGAAGAUAUCUAUUUAGUGAAAAUUUAAGGGAGAUAAGUGUCUAUUUAAUAAAUAGAGGGGUGUUAGUGAUAUUUGAGGAAAACUUAAGGGAGAUUAGGGCUGGAAAUGAGUCGAGUCGAACCGAACUUGCCUGAGCUCGGCUCGAUUCGAUAAGAAUUGGUUCGGCUCGAAACUCGGCUUGAGUUUGACACGAACUAUUUUUUCAGCUCGAGUUCGGCUCGUUUAAAAUUCACGAACAGUUCGGUUCGGCUCGUUACGGUUGCUCAACUCGUCCAAAAAAAAAAGUUAAAUUAUAGAUCUUUGAUAUUAUAUAUAUAUAUAUAUUAAAAUUAAAUAUUGAAUUAAAAUAAAAGUUCCCACAAGCAUGCAUAUAAUAGACAUAAAUUAUAUAAAGUUAAAGGUUGCAUAAAUACGAAAAAAAAUAUCUGAUACAAGUAACAAAGACAAAAAAUCCAACAAAAUUCAAUAAGCUGUGAACAAAAUUCAAUUCCCUUCAAGACAAAAUUGUAUUCGGCCACAUUUGAAUUAAAAAAAAUUUAAAAACUAACUCAAAUUGAUUUAUAUAUAUAAUCGAUAAUUGAGUCAUCUCAUGAACCGAACGAGUCGAACUAUAUGUAGCUCAAGUUCAGCUCAUUUAAUUAACGAACUUAAUUUUCAGCUCAAGUCCAGCUCAUUAGGUUUAUGAACCAAGUUCAACGGAUUAAAUAUCGAGUCGAAUGUCGAACUAUAAUCGAGUUGGUUCGGUUCAUUGCCAGCCCUAAGGAAGAUGAAUGUAAUUUACGCGUAAUUUUUUUUAUAGUAAUAUUUUUACACGUUAAGAGAGUGAUUACUUGAGAGAGAAGAGACAAAAUCAUUAUAUCACCAAAAUACAAUGUUAUUUAAAGGAAAUUCCAGUUUCCUUUGGCUUAAGGUUUGUGUUGA
rnacentral:lncRNA from 1 species